UGGGGAAUAUUGCACAUGGGGGAAACCCUGAUGCAGCCAUGCCGCGUGUGUGAAGAAGGCCUUCCGGUUGUAAAGCACUUUCAGCGAGAAGGAAAGGUUGUUGGCUAAUACCCCAGCAACUGUGACGUUACUCGCAGAAGAAGCACCGGCUAACUCCGUGC
rnacentral:rRNA from 1 species